rnacentral:rRNA from 1 species
AUUGAACGCUGGCGGCAGGCCUAACACAUGCAAGUCGAACGAGUAGCGGACGGGUGAGUAAUGUCUGGGAAACUGCCUGAUGGAGGGGGAUAACUACUGGAAACGGUAGCUAAUACCGCAUACUAUCGGAUGAGCCUAGAUCGGAUUAGCUAGUUGGUGGGGUAAAGGCUUACCAAGGCGACGAUCCCUAACUGGUCUGAGAGGAUGAUCAGCCACACUGGAACUGAGACACGGUCCAGACUCCUACGGGAGGCAGCAGUGGGGAAUAUUGGACAAUGGGCGCAAGCCUGAUGCAGCCAUGCCGCGUGUGUGAAGAAGGCCUUCGGAUUGUAAAGCACUUUAAGCGGGGAGGCGUUACCAACAGAAUAAGCACCGGCUAACUCCGUGCCAGCAGCCGCGGUAAUAC